ACAGCGGAAAGGCUCAGUAACGGCGUGAGGAAGCGGCAAUGCUCAAAUUUGAAUACUGGCUCCUUCGGAAUUCUAAGUAAUUUGCAGAGGUUGCUCUGGGUGCGGCCCCGUCUAAGUGCCCUGGAACGGGCCGUCAGAGAGGGUGAGAAUCCCGUCUUGGGCGGGGUGUCCGUGCCCGUGUAAAGCUCCUUCGACGAGUCGAGUUGUUUGGGAAUGCAGCUCUAAAUGGGUGGUAAAUUUCAUCUAAAGCUAAAUACUGGCCGGAGACCGAUAGCGCACAAGUAGAGUGAUCGAAAGAUGAAAAGCACUUUGAAAAGAGAGUUAAACAGCACGUGAAAUUGUUGAAAGGGAAGCGCUUGCGACCAGACUCGCCCGCGGGGUUCAGCCGGCAUUCGUGCCGGUUACUUCCCCGUGGGCGGGCCAGCGUCGGUUUGGGCGGCCGGUCAAAGGCCCCUGGAAGUAGUACCCUCCGGGGUACCUUAUAGCCAGGGGUGCAAUGCGGCCAGCCUGGACCGAGGAACGCGCUUCGGCACGGACGCUGGCAUAAUGGUCGUAAACGCCGUCGAAAAAAGACCAACCAAUGCCAGCGUCGUGCGAAGCGCGUUCCUCGUCAGCUGGCCGCAUUGCACCCCUGGCUAUAAGGUACCCGAGGUACUCAUUCCAGGGCUUUGACGGCGCCAACCGAC
rnacentral:rRNA from 1 species